AUUGAACGCUGGCGGCAUGCCUUACACAUGCAAGUCGAACGGCAGCACGGGGCAACCUGGUGGCGAGUGGCGAACGGGUGAGUAAUGCAUCGGAACGUACCUUUCAGUGUGGGAUAACGUAGCGAAAGUUACGCUAAUACCGCAUAUUCUGUGAGCAGGAAAGCAGGGGAUCGCAAGACCUUGCGCUGAUUGAGCGGCCGAUGUCAGAUUAGCUAGUUGGUGGGGUAAAGGCUCACAAAGGCGACGAUCUGUAGCGGGUCUGAGAGGAUGAUCCGCCACACUGGAACUGAGGCACGGUCCAGACUCCUACGGGAGGCAGCAGUGGGGAAUUUUGGACAAUGGGGGCAACCCUGAUCCAGCCAUGCCGCGUGAGUGAAGAAGGCCUUCGGGUUGUAAAGCUCUUUCGGCCGGGAAGAAAUCGCACGGGCUAAUACCCUGUGUGGAUGACGGUACCGGAAUAAGAAGCACCGGCUAACUACGUGCCAGCCGCCGCGGUAAAAC
rnacentral:rRNA from 1 species